rnacentral:rRNA from 1 species
UACGGAGGGUGCAAGCGUUAUCCGGAUUCACUGGGUUUAAAGGGUGCGUAGGUGGUCAGGUAAGUCAGUGGUGAAAUCUCCGAGCUUAACUCGGAAACUGCCGUUGAUACUAUUUGUCUUGAAUAUUGUGGAGGUAAGCGGAAUAUGUCAUGUAGCGGUGAAAUGCUUAGAUAUGACAUAGAACACCAAUUGCGAAGGCAGCUUACUACACAACGAUUGACGCUGAGGCACGAAAGCGUGGGGAUCAAACAGG